UUGGAAUUGGAAGUUAUUGUCUUUGUGCGUCAGCUGAUAGUCAUGUGAUGGAGUCAUGUGACACAGUUCAUUUGAGUCAGCAGCAAAUUGGCAGGAUUCAUUUACAGCAGGAUGAAGAUGUUUCUACUGUCUCUGCUACUUGUGAACGUUUCCCAGGCUGUGGUGGUGGAGGUGAAUGAGGGGAAAAUGUUUGUCCUAUUACCCUGCCAGUACUCAGGAGUUAUAUUUAAGAACCACACAGUGAUGUGGACUCGCAAUGAUCUUAAUCCCAAAACUGUCCACCGACAACGAGAAGGAGGAGAUGAUCUUAGAGAACAAAACCAGUGUUACAGCGGACGCACAUCAAUAAGACCUGGUGCUCGGGACACUGGAGACUUCAGCCUCACUCUGAGAAAACCAACAGAGUCUCACAGUGGAAAAUACACCUGCUCCAUCACUGAUGGACAAGAAGAGCUGAUAGUGAGACACGUAUGGCUGCAAUUCAAAGCAGGAUCUGUGUUCAUGGAGUGGUUUAUGAUAACUUUAUUCUGUGUUGUGGUCACCCUUGUUUGCAUAGCUUAUGUCUACGGUGCUCUCAGGAAUGAAGCAUUACAACACAGAGCAGAGAAGUAAUGUAAUGUAAGUGGAGAAGGCUGUUCUGCUCCACAGCUGACCUGCCUCAGGAAACUACGGUGGACUGGAGGUGCUCAAACUACAAACAUGGCUGUCCACAUCUGAUGGUUUAACUGGCAUCCUAAAAACAGCCGUAGUGAAAAUGAUUCAGACCUGUUGACCUAAAUAUAUAACUGCUGCUUAGAUCGAGGUCAGAGGUCCUUAAUACUGGAUAUUACACUCUGAACAGGACACACUCACCAAAGUGUCUGUUUUCUCUGUUCUAUUGAUGUUAAGCUGUUUGCUAGGAGGGCAGUUUUUCCUUUUUCACUCUGCAGGUGACACUUCAAAAACUCAAAAUCUCACCAAAUAUAUUUGUCUUAUUUCUUGUGAAAAAACAUGUCAUGACACUUAAAAUAAGACAAAAUCAGCUAAAGAGUAAUAUUUCAGUAAGAUAUGUGAACUUGUUUUUAGCCAGUGAAUCUUGAAACUGGGGAAUUUUCACUUGUUCUAUUGGCACAUUUUUCACCUAUUUCAAGCAAAAAUAUCUUGUAUGAAGUGAGACAAAAAUAAGUAAAUCAGACAGUGUUUCUACAUAAUUGCUUUCUAUCUAACAUUCACAUCAACAUGCUGCCCAAAUAUGUUUGACUUGAAAGGUGAAGCAAACCAUCAAUCUUCUGAUUUGUCGAUGAACUGCUCUACCUCCCAAGUUACAGCCGCCUUGUGUGCUUUAAUCAUCAGUGAAGCACAUUUGUUCCAUCAGUAUGUUUUUAAUCACACAUCAGAGUAAGAGUCUAACUGGGGACCAUGAAAUGUUUUUAUCCCAGUGUUUUCAGUGUGGGAGAAAGUACUCAGGGCCUUCAAGUUACACACUAUGAAAGGCAGCAACAAGUUUAAUAUUCAGAAACCUAAAGUAUGUAUCAGCAGCAGAAUGGAGCU